rnacentral:rRNA from 1 species
UACGUAGGGUGCAAGCGUUGUCCGGAAUUAUUGGGCGUAAAGAGCUCGUAGGCGGUUUGUCGCGUCUGCUGUGAAAACUCAGGGCUUAACCCUGAGCUUGCAGUGGGUACGGGCAGACUAGAGUGCGGUAGGGGAGACUGGAAUUCCUGGUGUAGCGGUGAAAUGCGCAGAUAUCAGGAGGAACACCGAUGGCGAAGGCAGGUCUCUGGGCCGAUACUGACGCUGAGGAGCGAAAGCGUGGGGAGCGAACAG